rnacentral:sRNA from 1 species
CACCGAGUCCGAGGUUCCGGGGUUCACCCGGACCUGGUGCACAAGGGA